GAUGAACGCUGGCGGCGUGCUUAACACAUGCAAGUCGAGCGAAGCGCUCACGCGGAAUUUUUCGGAAGGAAGCGGGAGUGACUUAGCGGCGGACGGGUGAGUAACGCGUGGGUAACCUGCCCCAUACCGGGGGAUAACGGUUAGAAAUGACCGCUAAUACCGCUUAAGCGCGCGAGGCCGCAUGGCCGCGCGCGAAAAACUCCGGUGGUAUGGGAUGGGCCCGCGUCUGAUUAGGUAGUUGGCGGGGUAAAGGCCCACCAAGCCGACGAUCAGUAGCCGACCUGAGAGGGUGGCCGGCCACAUUGGGACUGAGACACGGCCCAAACUCCUACGGGAGGCAGCAGUGGGGAAUAUUGCGCAAUGGGGGAAACCCUGACGCAGCGACGCCGCGUGAGUGAAGAAGUAUUUCGGUACGUAAAGCUCUAUCAGCAGGGAAGAAAAAAAGUCCACAGGACUUUGGACGGUACCUGACUAAGAAGCCCCGGCUAACUACGUGCC
rnacentral:rRNA from 1 species